GCGGACCAUGCUGACACCUUACCUUGGACUUUCCAGCUUCCAGAACUGGGUUCAACAGGAUGGUCUUGGGAUCCUAGGCAUCAUGGAGGGCUGAAGAAGCCCCAGAAAUUCACCAUGGGAUCCCAGCCUCAGGCCCGCCUAGGCAGUGUGCGGGGCUUCUCACCAGUAUGGAUUCUCUGAUGUAGAGUAAGCUGAGAGCCAUGACUAAAGGCCUUGCCACACUCCUUGCAUUCAUAGGGUUUUUCUCCAGUGUGAAUUCGCUGAUGUUGAGUCAACUGUGAACCACGAAUAAAGGCUUUCCCACAUU
rnacentral:antisense_RNA from 1 species